UGGAGUUUCAAGAUGCUGAUGAACUUAAGGUCUGGUGCUUGAAAGAAUCAGUGAAGCUUUUCAAGUAGAGGAGUACUCUACUUUGAAGAAAGGAAUGGAACAGAAGGUGUCUGCAUAACUAAAUGGGGAUCUAGAGAAAGUGGAGACUGCCUCUGGAGCAGGGAGGUGAGUGGACCAGAUCACCGUGUGGGCCUGGGCCUACUCAGCUGAUUUUCAAGCUAAAACCAGGGGUAACUUUUCCUCUUGAGACGAAAGCCAUGCUCAGAUUCUGUGAACAGCCAGAGAUGUGUUCGAAAGGCUUACUUUUAUUUUGUACUAGAAAAGAUUGUCUCUCCAAAAUUUACCUCGUAUUCAUAAACUGGAAAGUUCUGAUGGCAAUAUUUUGUUACAAAAUUGUCAUUAAUCACAAUCCAGGAUUAUGCUACCAUGACUAGAAGGCCCCGUAAUGGAGUUUAUCUGCACUGCAAGGGGCCAGUUGUCUCAGAAUCAUCCUCCGUUGACAUCUCCAUCUCCAGGACAGCUCCACACUAAUCUGUUUCAAAGACAAAAUCCGGUCUAAUCAGUUUGAUGUAUGUUUCUGGGAAUAGAGCCGAAUGUUGUAGCUGAUGGAAUGGAGUCUCAUACCAUUGAUUUUGCAGCUGGAUAAGUGCCCUGCCAUGUUACUGCCACUCUUUAAGGCAGAAUAGAGCACAUUGUAUCAUUUAUAGGCCUCUCACAGUGAGAAAUAUGUGGAACUUUGGAAAUGAGAAUCUAAAACUGCAGUCCAAUGGGGUAGCCACUAUUCACAUGUGCUAUUGAGUACCUAAAAUGUGGCUAGACCAAGUUGACAUGUGCUGAAGGGUGAAAAACAUCAGGAGUGAAGAAUUAACUUGAAAAAAAUGUAAACUAUCUCAAUUUUAUAUUGAUUACAAAUUAAAUGAUGUUUUGAAUAUAUUGAGUUAAAUGAAAUACAUUUUUAAAUGAUACAUGAUGUGUAUUAUAUUUCUGUUGGACAGUACUGGUCUAAAACAGUUGAUUCACUAUCCAGUAGAGAGAAAGGUAUUGCUGUUUUACCAUAUGUGACCUUCAGGGAAAAGAAGAAUAAAAUUAGCACUUGAAAAUGCAAAA
rnacentral:lncRNA from 1 species